ensembl:lncRNA
CCUCCAUGCCAAAGAUUAGUUGUGAGCAGGGAAGUUGCUAGGAGCCGGGGGUAAACACAAAUGCUCCCUGCUUUCCUUACAGCUCUGCUUCAAAGUCCUGCAGCACGCUCAUGAAUGUACCCAAUGCUCCUCUUCCCUCCUUUAACAACAUGUGGUACAUGGGGGUUGUCCCCACUUCACAUGCACUUCGCACGCAGGCAUGUUUUUGCUGUUGGACAUCUCUAUUCUGUAACUGAACAAGGGAGUCAUCAGGAUUUCACCAGCCCACAGGGACUGUUCAAGCAGGCAUUCACACAAUACAUCCAAAUCUUGGUUCAAGUUGAGCAGGAGCAACAAGAGAAAAUGUUUGGAUUUCAUGAUAAAGGGACACAUGAAUCUUCAAAUCCAGCUGUGCCAAUGGAAGAAUCCUCUCAGGUCUUGCUCAGAAACAUCUAUCAGAUGAACCUGGCCAAGAACCACACCAAGUUUAUGGGAUCAGACUUUCUACUUCCACUCCAGUGAAAAGUCACUUUGACAGUGGUGGUGCUAUUCCUGACCACUGUAUUAUUCAUGCUUUACAUGAUUGGUCUUUAGGCUUGCAGAGUAAAAAGGGGAUGCUGGAGAGAAUAAAAGUAAUAACAGCCUGCAAACUACAAGAAUGACAUGUCUUAGGAGCUGCUUGUCCGCAUAUCAUUUCUGGUUGUAGGCAAGAGCCACUCAAAUUCAUUAAGAGCAAACGGAAGUCCUUCAGCCCCAGAUUCCUGUCAUUUUAUUUGAAGAGGAGGCCUCUGGCAUGUAACCAGAUAUCUUCCGGGUUUUUCAGCUUGCUGAUCUUUGCCUUCAGACUUCUGGCCAGUAUUAAUUUACAUAGGCCUGAAACAAGCGUGGCGCUAUCCGUCUUCUUGAGUUACAUGCAAGGAACACCAAUAAACUUCCUGAUGUAACUAAUGAAGGAAAUUGGGAAGGAAGGAACAGUCUAUCAAUUAUCAAUUGGAUAAAAGUUGCAGGAAUUGGGCAAAUUAAAGUAUAUGAAGCAAGUACUUCAAUAAUAAGAGCUGAGACUCAAGAAGAAACUGUGUGCAUUUCAACAUACUGAGCACAGAUGCAUUUGCAAUGUGGCAGCAGAAGGGAAAAAGAAGAACAGAGAUGGAGAGCAUAAGGGCAAGGGCAAGCACAUUUCAGAAAGAAAAAAGAAAAUGGUGAUUUGUUCCUAGAUGGGAGAGAUGCAGAUCUACCACAUUUCAUAACAUGUGGAAAUGAAGCCGUACAUUUCUGGUGCCAUUUGUUUACAUUGUUGGUUUUUGUUUGCAUUGUUUGUUUGUUUGUUUGUUUGUUGUGAGCAUUCUGAUACCACCCCUUUUUUGCUCUGAUCCCCAAUUAAAUGAAAAUUCAAAAGUCA